rnacentral:miRNA from 1 species
UAUGGUACAAACCCAUGCGGUCGCAUGGCCUAAAAAAAAAAAAAAAAAAAAAAAAAUUUUUUUUUUUUUUUUUUUUUUUUUAGGCCAUGCGACCGCAUGGGUUUGUACCAU